CAGUAGCCACGGUAAUAUGUAGGGCGCGAGCGUUAAUCGGAAUUAUUGGGCGUAAAGCGUGCGCAGGCGGUGAUGUAAGACAGAUGUGAAAUCCCCGGGCUCAACCUGGGAACUGCAUUAGUGACUGCAUCGCUGGAGUGCGGCAGAGGGGGAUGGAAUUCCGCGUGUAGCAGUGAAAUGCGUAGAUAUGCGGAGGAACACCGAUGGCGAAGGCAAUCCCCUGGGCCUGCACUGACGCUCAUGCACGAAAGCGUGGGGAGCAAACAGGAUUAGAUACCCGCGUAGUCCCUGUCUCUUAUAC
rnacentral:rRNA from 1 species